GUGAGGAAUAUUGGUCAAUGGACGAGAGUCUGAACCAGCCAAGUCGCGUGAAGGAAGAAGGAUCUAUGGUUCGUAAACUUCUUUUGCAGGGGAAUAAAGUGCAGGACGUGUCCUGUUUUGUAUGUACCCUGAGAAUAAGGAUCGGCUAACUCCGUGCCAGCAGCCGCGGUAAUACGGAGGAUCCGAGCGUUAUCCGGAUUUAUUGGGUUUAAAGGGUGCGUAGGUGGUUUGAUAAGUCAGCGGUGAAAGUUUGCAGCUUAACUGUAAAAAUGCCGUUGAAACUGUCGGACUUGAGUGUAAAUGAGGUAGGCGGAAUGCGUGGUGUAGCGGUGAAAUGCAUAGAUAUCACGCAGAACUCCGAUUGCGAAGGCAGCUUACUAAGCUACAACUGACACUGAAGCACGAAAGCGUGGGGAUCAAACAGGAUUAGAUACCCGGGUAGUCC
rnacentral:rRNA from 1 species